UUUACCGUGAAAAAAUUAGAGUGUUCAAAGCGGGCAGAUAUUUUUCCUGCCACCGAAUACAUUAGCAUGGGAUAAUGGAAUAGGACCCUGACCUCCUAUUUUCAGUUGGUUUUGUUUACAGCGAGGUUAUAUCAGGGUAAUGAUUAAUAGGGAUAGUUGGGGGCAUUAAUAUUUAAUUGUCAGAGGUGAAAUUCUUGGAUUUAUGAAAGAUUAACUUCUGCGAAAGCGUUUGCCAAGGAUGUUUUCAUUAAUCAAGAACGAAAGUUAGGGGAUCGAAGACGAUCAGAUACCGUCGUAGUCUUAACCAUAAACGAUGCCGACCAGCGAUUAGGAGACGUUGAAUACAUAAC
rnacentral:rRNA from 1 species